UACGUAGGGUGCGAGCGUUGUCCGGAAUUAUUGGGCGUAAAGGGCUCGUAGGCGGCUUGUCGCGUCGGGAGUGAAAACGCCGGGCUUAACUCGGUGCUUGCUUUCGAUACGGGCAGACUAGAGGCAUGCAGGGGAGAACGGAAUUCCUGGUGUAGCGGUGAAAUGCGCAGAUAUCAGGAGGAACACCGGUGGCGAAGGCGGUUCUCUGGGACGGUACUGACGCUGAGACGCGAAAGCGUGGGGAGCGAACAGG
rnacentral:rRNA from 1 species